GGGGAGGCUUGGGAGAUGAGGUUAAUGAGGAGAGAAGGGUGGGACCGGGAAAGUGCCUGGAGUCUGAAUUCUAUCCUGAAAACCACAGAAAACCUCUAAAGGAAAUUAAGCAGAAUGACUGGCUUAGAUUUUUGUUUUCAAAAUGAGUGUCCACGGUUUGGAGAAUGGACUGGAGUGAGAUGGUCCUGAUUGGGAGCAACAAGCUCAAAAGCAAUUGGAACAAUUCAGUCAAGAAGUGCUGAGAAUAUGAACUAAGUCAGUGAUAGCAGGCACUGAGAGAAGAGGGCAUAUAGCAACAACAACAAAAAUCAUAAGAGCUCACAUUUAUGCAGCACUUACAAUAAGACAUGAUGCUUAGUGCUUUCUGGGUAUUAACUCAUUUUAUCUUCACAGUAACCCUGAGAUAGCUUUGUUAUCUAUUAUCAACCUCAUGCCUCAGAUCAGAAAACGCAGUAGAGGUUAAGUAAGGACCCCAAGAUCCAGGAGCUAUUGGUGAAUGAGCCACAGCUCAAACCCGGCUGUCUGGCUGCAGAGCCCACACUCCUAAUGUCCAUAUUGGCAACUCUCCUAGUACAGUUACAGACAGAGGGUCUUAAGGACUGGACAAUGAAUGGUUGAGACAGGGGAGACUCCAGGACAAUUUCCAGAGAUCUGACUUGGGUAGGUAAACAUGUGAAUUUCAGUUUUUCGAGCCUCCUCCCCUGAAGCUCCUCCCCAGAUCUGUCCUUGCCCCGCUAGGGCAAGUACCCACACUCCCACCGUCACACCACACCCCCUCUCCUUUGCAGUCUUUGCAUCACGGCCUUUGGCCAUGAAACACAGGCAUCUCCCAAUUGGAGUGAAAAACUUCACAAGCAUUUCCAAUUAGGUCUGAGAAACCCGACAGCAAACUCUGCUCUUGGUAAUACAGUGGCUUAGGUUUAUUAUUUUCAAAUCAGCCAGAACUGGGAAAACUUUGAGCGAGCUUGUGUGGUUUCCUUCUGAGAGAGUGAGAUCUUGGCAGCCUACUUCUGUGUUUCACCGUAGCUGCCCUACGGAACAGAACAUAGACCUUCUUGCGGGGCUAGCGUGUAAGCACAGAAGCACACACAGCCGCCUCGCCUGCAGCCUCCGACAGACCGGCAGGAAGAAACUAACCCUGGCAGGAGCUCUGCAGAGAGCCAAAUGGCAUUCUUUCUCCAUGCACAAAAGUUAAAGCAAGCAUCUGCAGCAUUAGGGGAAAAAAAAAAAAA
rnacentral:lncRNA from 1 species